rnacentral:rRNA from 1 species
UAAUACGUAGGAGGCGAGCGUUAUCCGGAUUCACUGGGCGUAAAGCGUGUGCAGGCGGUUUGGUUAGUUGGAUGUGAAAGCUCCUGGCUCAACUGGGAGAGGUCGUUCAAUACUGCCAGACUAGAGGACGGUAGAGGAGAGUGGAAUUCCCGGUGUAGUGGUGAAAUGCGUAGAUAUCGGGAGGAACACCAGUGGCGAAAGCGGCUCUCUGGGCCGUUCCUGACGCUAAGACACGAAAGCGUGGGUAGCGAACGGGAUUAGAAACCCCGGUAGUCCACGCUGUAAACGAUGCAAACUUGGUGUUGGUGGCGUAAAAACCUUCAGUGCCGAAGCUAACGCGAUAAGUUUGCCGCCUGGGGACUACGAUCGCAAGAUUA